rnacentral:ncRNA from 20 species
AAUAACGGUUUCGGUCUUGGUGCUCCUUUUAGCUAAGGAGUGAAAAGGGAAUCAGGUGAAAGUCCUGAGCAGUCCGGCUGACGUAAGUGAGAGAGUUGUUUUUCAAAAUGCCACUGGUUUAUUCCGGGAAGGCGAAAAUCAAUGAUGACCUCCGAGCCGUAAGACCUGCCAAUGACUAUAAGGGUAAA